CAAUUUGAAGACCCCUGAUAUUAAUGUUUUGAGUUCUCUGUUACCUGGGGACUUGAUCCCUGUCCUUCCUUGGCUUCUUUGAGUAAUUAAGGUAGAGAUGAAGGAGUGGAUUUUGAGGUGGUUAAGUGUGUUCUUGAAGGGAAAAAAUUGUCCUGCUGCCUAAAAGCAGAGAAUCAUUCUCUUUAAAAAGGUGAUUUUUUUGACCCCACAUCUUGCCCUCAGUUUCCAACUUUGCAGUUUUAAGGAAGAUCUUGGAGAAGAUGGUUGGACCUUGAGUAGCAAAACUUCUGGGAAAGAGACAGCAGUGACCUCUUGUGGAUGAACUUCUCUGGGCCUUGUAUGACGGGCAUUCAGUUCUCUUUGUACUGGUAGAUCUCUAAUGUUUUUAAUAUAAUCAGCCAUGGUAUUGAUAGGAGUAAAUGAAAGAUCUUCAAAAUUUAAAAUUGUAAGAGGAAUUAGCUGUAAGAGGAAGUAGCUGCAAGAGGAAAUAGCUAGCUUAAAAGUAAAAUAAAACAAAUUGAAAAACAGGAAAGACAAAACUAAAAUGUACUGAAUAACAGGAAAACUAGAACAAACUGAAAAGAACCUAUCUUUCUAAGGAUCCAUAAAAUAACCAGGAACAAAAAAACAAGCUAAAAGAGCAUGUUCAAUAGACUAUUGAAUAUCGUCUGACAUACCUUGCAUACAUUGUCUGCUCAUUUAAAUACACAUGCAAUGUAUGAUUUAGUAUGUUUGGGUAGGGUAGCAGGAAAUAUGUAGAAGGCUGUGGGAGAGAAUGUAAACUUAUAGUACCUCAGCCAAUGAGGAACGAGGAGGGAUGGGCAGCCAGUGUAGGGAAUGUAUAAAGAUGUUGAUUUGGAAUGUUGAACUUUGGAGAGAACCAAGCUUUGAUAGCUUCUCCCCGCUUAUUGCAAUAAAUGAAACAAACGGUCUUCACUGUGUCGUGGCUGGUUAUUGGUCAGGCAGGUUUGCCACUGGCUGCGAAGGAAAGUCCCCAGGAGCACAUAACAGUAUGCUCCUGAAGUACUGUACUAUAGUGAAUUUAGAGGAUGGCCAUGACAGACAGGGAAGGCCCCCUACAAAGGCAAUUCACAGUAAACGUGGUUUAAACCCAUAUUAAGGUAGAUAUUUAUGAAAUAGUAUAAAACAGGCAUCCCCUAAUUCACAUCAAGAUAAAAGAGGGAAGAAGGAAGCACGUUCAGGCUUGCAACAUUCUAUUAUUAUAGUAAUUCUAAUAAGUUUUAGGCCUGUGGUAUGGAAGCUGCUUAGAAUAGUAUGAAAUAAUUACAAGUUGCCACAGGCAUAAUUUUUUAUUAUUUAUUUUUAUUGCUAUAAUACACAGAAAAGAAAGGAAAAUGCAGCUGGAUAUAAAACAGUACAUCCCAACACAGUUUUUGUAGAAACUGAAGAGAGAGGCUGAAAAGAGGAAAACGCAUGUCCUGCCAAGAGACGACUAGCAGCCAUGUAAUUAUUUAACUGCAAAGGGAGUGAGGGUGGGCCAGAAUCCCGAUAUAGAUGUGCACACUUUGAGACUAUAAGCUGCACAUACCUCCAGAAGAGAAACUUUUAUUACAAAGGCAGAGAAAUACUCAUCAUGAGGGAGAAAUGAAGCCACUAGAUUCCCCAUUGAGAUUCUGACAUCAUCCACUGAGCCAUGAAGUUCUAGAUCAUGGAAAGUCAUGAAUAUAAUCAGUAUACAGUGGCUCCACCCCUGCCUUGAAAACAGUUGGUUCCUGAUCAAGCUAAAAUGAGGUCUUCAUGAGGUCAUCUUUAUAGUUCAUUAACGUCUGAAGAAGUGGGGGAUGCUUAUAAAAAUGUUCAUGACACAAAUUUACAUGAAAUGGCUUCUAUUCUAAAAUACAGAAAAAAGUAAAAAAUUAUCUUGAAGUUCAAAAAAAUUGGCUGAAAACAGAUAAAAAAUUAAUAAGA